AGCGAACGCUGGCGGCAGGCUUAACACAUGCAAGUCGAGCGGGCGUAGCAAUACGUCAGCGGCAGACGGGUGAGUAACGCGUGGGAACGUACCUUUUGGUUCGGAACAACACAGGGAAACUUGUGCUAAUACCGGAUAAGCCCUUACGGGGAAAGAUUUAUCGCCGAAAGAUCGGCCCGCGCCUGAUUAGCUAGUUGGUGAGGUAACGGCUCACCAAGGCGACGAUCAGUAGCUGGUCUGAGAGGAUGAUCAGCCACAUUGGGACUGAGACACGGCCCAAACUCCUACGGGAGGCAUCAGCGGGGAAUAUUGAACAAUGGGCGCAAGCCUGAUCCAGCCAUGCCGCGUGAGUGAUGAAGGCCCUAGGGUUGUAAAGCUCUUUUGUGCGGGAUGAUAAUGACAGUACCGGGAGAAUAAGCUCCGGCUAACUCCGUGCCAGCAGCCGCCGUAA
rnacentral:rRNA from 1 species